rnacentral:rRNA from 1 species
UUUAACUGAAGAGUUUGAUCAUGGCUCAGAUUGAACGCUGGCGGCAGGCUUAACACAUGCAAGUCGAGCGGGGGAAGGUA